UAUGAAGCUGAGCUUAACUUUUCUGCUCGUCUCCAUAAAUUCUUUACUAUUCUCUUUUGCUGUUGCAGGUAGCAACGAGGUGUCACAGUCAUCAGAAUUAGUGAUCGUUAUCGAGGGAAACACUGCAAUAUUGACCUGUACCACCACAGUAGCAGGGCAGAUCCUACAGUGGUACAUUCAAUACCCGGACGGAACCAUGAAGCAUCUGGUGAGCGGUACCAGCAAUCGGGACAGGAUUGCUGCUCAGUUCAGUUCAGUGGAGAAGAGAAGCACUCUGAAUGUUCAUGACGUUCGAGUGACAGACAUUGGCACCUAUCUCUGCGCAGUAGAGACACAGUGA